rnacentral:misc_RNA from 1 species
GAAUUUUCUGGGGUCGGAUACUGGUUCAAGUCAGGUUUCUCUUGAACUACUCGGUUGGAGUUCUUUUCUGAUGCAUGGAGGCCCGUUUGCUGUAGGGCGUCCACCUGAGCCCCAACUUCUGUGGCUUUCUUGCGUAUAGAAGCAGCGGACAUGUCCCGUAGGUCGUCCUGGUGGUAUAUUAAAUCGGGGAAAUUAAGCCUGGCGGAAGGACCUCGAAGGUAGAAAACAGCGGUGUCGUAGGCACGCGCGGCGGCGAU